GUGGUAGACCACCACGUUGAUAGGCCGGGUGUGGAAGUGCAGUAAUGCAUGUAGCUUACCGGUACUAAUCGUUCGAUUGGCUUGAUUGCUCUCAUUUU
rnacentral:rRNA from 1 species